UCUGUGUAAGUGGAUCUCUUCCUCUAUAUAUAUAGACAAUAUUUUAGAUCGAUAUGAUAAAGAUAUCGAAUAAAUUAAAAAUUUACAUGCAUAAUAAGUAUAAAGAGUUGAAUAUUAAUUAUAUAAAAGAAAUUAUAAAUGUCGAAACCAUUUUUAUUUAAACGGGGUCGACUUUAAUUUAAAAACGAAAAUGGAGUCUCCACCAAUCUAUUUUUAUGAGGUGUGAUUGGGUCACUUAGAAAAGUAGUUUUUAAUAAACGAUUUGAUUUUAUUAAAAAUAACGAUUUUGGUCCACGAAAUUCAGAAAAAUGGGUUCGGGAGUCGGUU
rnacentral:lncRNA from 1 species